CGUGUCCAUCACCAUGAAACUCCCCGCACUCUCCUCUCCCGUCCGCAGCCAGUCAACCAAGAAGGUGUGGAGUUCAGAAAUGAAGAAGGGUCUCGGCCCGAAACGUCAGCCUUCCUGCUCCUGAGAUGCUGCUUGGCCUGCUAUGUUCAUCCAGCUCUACGCCUUGUUAUCCUGGCAGGGAGGUGUGCUAGUUCUAUUAAGGAAGACUGCGAACUAUUAAAGAGGCCCUUCACCUCCAAUGUAAGACAGCAGUAGCGUGAACCAUCCAGAAGAUACAGUGCAGUAACUCACCAUGGCUCCUUCAACAGCAUCUUUCAAUCCUGCAGAUGUGAGGGAACACAUGCAAGGACUCCAAAAUUCACACACCACCGGAUAUGGAACUAUAUCAGCAUAUCUUCACAGUUGCUGUAUUAAAAUCUUGGAAUGCCCUUGCUAAAAUAACUGCGGAUGUGCCUACACUAAAAAGACUUCAGCACUUAAAGAAAAAGGCAGCUCACGACCACCUCCUCCAAUACAAUUGUGGCUGACCCAUAAAUUCUGACCCAGCAAUGGUCAGCCACAUAACCUGAGCGAAUUAAAAAACUUCUCUCUGGCAAAGUUACAUGGACAAUGUACCUUGAUUUCAAAAAGCAAGAGAAGAUAUUCUACCUUUAUUGCAGAUCUAUCUGUAACCUCAAUUGAUAGAACACUAAAGUUCUUGCAGGAUGUUUUAUACCUGGUAUAAAGCGUAUCUACAUUGGAACUCAGCUCUGCAGUGUCGACAGUAUGAUUCAUUAAAAGGAUUUGCACAUUCCAAAGGUGGUAUUUUACAGUCAGUGACACAGGCAUCUGCGCUAGAGGAUAAUCCAAACUCAAAUAUA